UACAGAGACUGCAAGCGUUAUUCGGAUUCACUGGGCGUAAAGGGUGCGCAGGCGGUCGGGUGUGUCAGAUGUGAAAUCCCGAGGCUCAACCUCGGAACUGCGUCUGAAACUACUCGACUAGAGUACUGGAGAGGGUAACGGAAUUCACGGUGUAGCAGUGAAAUGCGUAGAUAUCGUGAGGAACACCAGAGGCGAAGGCGGUUACCUGGACAGUUACUGACGCUCAGGCACGAAAGCAUGGGGAGCAGACAGG
rnacentral:rRNA from 1 species